CCAAGGAGUCUAACAUGUGCGCGAGUCAUGGGGUUCUACGAAACCUAAAGGCGUAAUGAAAGUGAAGGCCGCCUCGGGUUGGCCUAGGUAGGAUCCCUUCCUUCGGGAGGGGCGCACUACCGGCCCGUCUCGAUCUCGUCGUAGAUGAGGCGGAGCAAGAGCGUACACGUUGGGACCCGAAAGAUGGUGAACUAUGCUUGAGUAGGACGAAGCCAGAGGAAACUCUGGUGGAGGUCCGUAGCGAUUCUGACGUGCAAAUCGAUCGUCAAACUUGGGUAUAGGGGCGAAAGACUAAUCGAACCAUCUA
rnacentral:rRNA from 1 species